AAUAUUGGACAAUGGGGGCAACCCUGAUCCAGCCAUGCCGCGUGUGUGAAGAAGGUCUUCGGAUUGUAAAGCACUUUAAGUUGGGAGGAAGGGCUUUAGGCUAAUACCCUGAAGUUUUGACGUUACCAACAGAAUAAGCACCGGCUCACGCUGUGCCAGCAGCCGCGGUAAUACAGAGGGUGCAAGCUGUAAUCGGAAUUACUGGGUGUAAGGCGCGCGUAGGUGGUUCAGUAAGAAGGGUGUGAAAACCCCGGGUUGAACCUGGGAACUGCUUUCAUAACUGCUGAGCUAGAGUAAGGUAGGGGGUAGUGGAAUUUCCUGUGUAGCGGUGAAAUGCGUAGAUAUAGGAAGGAACACCAGUGGCGAAGGCGACUACCUGGACUGAUACUGACACUGAGGUGCGAAAGCGUGGGGAGCAAA
rnacentral:rRNA from 1 species